rnacentral:misc_RNA from 1 species
CCGAGUGAGGGUCUUUGGCCCGACCUCCAACCCUUUGUUCAACCGUCUUUGUUGCCUCGGGGGCGACCCGGCCUUCGGGCGUCGGGGUCCCCGGUGGACCACUCAAUCAAAACUCUGCGUCCCUGCGUCUGAGUCACGAAGUAAAUCAAUCA